UACGGAAGGGGCAAGCGUUGUUCGGAAUCAUUGGGCGUAAAGGGCGUGUAGGUGGUUCUGUAUGUCUACCGUGAAAGCGUACGGCUCAACCGUAUUUAGUCGGUAGAAACUGCAGGACUUGAGGCUGGGAGGGGCUGGUGGAAUUCCCCGUGUAGCGGUGAAAUGCGUAGAGAUGGGGGAGAACACUCGUGGCGAAGGCGGCUUCCUGGACCGACACUGACGCUGAGGCGCGAAAGCUAGGGGAGCAAACGGG
rnacentral:rRNA from 1 species